AGGUGUGAUCAUACCAGGACUAAUGCACCGGAUCCCAUCAGAACUCCAUAGUUAAGCACGCUUGGGCUAGAGUAGUACUGGGAUGGGUGACCUCCCAGGAAGACCUAGUGUUGCACGCU
rnacentral:rRNA from 1 species